rnacentral:rRNA from 1 species
CUUGUCNCNNAGAUAANGNCAUGCNUGUCUCACUACAAGCUAAAUUAAAGUGAAACCGCGAAAGGCUCAUUAAAUCAGUUAUGGUUCCUUAGAUCGUACCCACAAUUACUUGGAUAACUGUGGUAAUUCUAGAGCUAAUACAUGCAAACAGAGCUCCGACCGGAGACGGAAGGAGUGCUUUUAUUAGAUCAAAACCAAUCGGUGGCGGGUUCGCGCCCGUCAUCGUACAAUAUGGUGAUUCUGAAUCACUUUAUGCUGAUCGCACGGUCAUCGCACCGGCGACGCAUCUUUCAAAUGUCUGCCUUAUCAACUGUCGAUGGUAGGUUCUGCGCCUACCAUGGUUGUAACGGGUAACGGGGAAUCAGGGUUCGAUUCCGGAGAGGGAGCCUGAGAAACGGCUACCACAUCCAAGGAAGGCAGCAGGCGCGCAAAUUACCCACUCCCGGCACGGGGAGGUAGUGACGAAAAAUAACGAUACGGGACUCAUCCGAGGCCCCGUAAUCGGAAUGAGUACACUCUAAACCCUUUAAUAAGGAUCAAUUGGAGGGCAAGUCUGGUGCCAGCAGCCGCGGUAAUUCCAGCUCCAAUAGCGUAUAUUAAAGUUGUUGCGGUUAAAAAGCUCGUAGUCGAAUUUGUGUCUCGCGCCGCCGGUUCAUCGUCCGCGGUGUUAACUGGCGAGUCGCGAGACGUCCUGCCGGUGGGCUUAGCUCGCAAGGGCGGUCCAACUCAAUCCCGUCGCGGUGCUCUUCAUUGAGUGUCGUGGUGGGCCGGCACGUUUACUUUGAACAAAUUAGAGUGCUUAAAGCAGGCUAAAACUUCGCCUGAAUACUGUGUGCAUGGAAUAAUGGAAUAGGACCUCGGUUCUAUUUUGUUGGUUUUCGGAACCCCGAGGUAAUGAUUAAUAGGAACGGAUGGGGGCAUUCGUAUUGCGACGUUAGAGGUGAAAUUCUUGGAUCGUCGCAAGACGGACAGAAGCGAAAGCAUUUGCCAAAAACGCUUUCAUUGAUCAAGAACGAAAGUUAGAGGUUCGAAGGCGAUCAGAUACCGCCCUAGUUCUAACCAUAAACGAUGCCAGCUAGCGAUCCGUCGACGUUCCUCCGAUGACUCGACGGGCAGCUUCCGGGAAACCAAAGCUUUUGGGUUCCGGGGGAAGUAUGGUUGCAAAGCUGAAACUUAAAGGAAUUGACGGAAGGGCACCACCAGGAGUGGAGCCUGCGGCUUAAUUUGACUCAACACGGGAAACCUCACCAGGCCCGGACACCGGAAGGAUUGACACAUUGAGAGCUCUUUCUUGAUUCGGUGGGUGGUGGUGCAUGGCCGUUCUUAUUUGGUGGANCNAUUUGUCUGGUUAAUUCCNAUAACNAACGAGACUCUAGCCUGCUAAAUAGGCGUAUUUUGACAUCCUAAAGGCCGUCUGCUCNNNNNNNNNNNNNNNNNNNNNNNNNNNNNNNNACUGUCGACGUACAAACAAUUCUUCUUAGAGGGACAGGCGGCUUCUAGCCGCACGAGAUUGAGCAAUAACAGGUCUGUGAUGCCCUUAGAUGUUCUGGGCCGCACGCGCGCUACACUGAAGGAAUCAGCGUGUCCUCCCUGGCCGAGUGGCCCGGGUAACCCGCUGAACCUCCUUCGUGNUAGGGAUUGGGGCUUGCAAUUGUUCCCCAUGAACGAGGAAUUCCCAGUAAGCGCGAGUCAUAAGCUCGCGUUGAUUAAGUCCNUGCCCUUUGUACACACCGCCCGUCGCUACUACCGAUUGAAUGAUUUAGUGAGGUNUUCGGACCGAUGCGCGAUGGCGUUUCGGCGUNGUNGAUGUGUCCGGGAAGAUGACCANACUUGAUCAUUUAGAGGAAGUAA